rnacentral:tRNA from 1 species
AGGAGGGGAAACGGUCCCGGUGGGCCGGCCGGGCUUCAAACCCGGUGGGUGGCGCUCAGCGCUGCCGGGUGGGUUCGACUCCCAUUCCCCUCCGCCA